AGAUUGAACGCUGGCGGCGUGCCUAACACAUGCAAGUCGAGCGGUAACAGGUGUAGCAAUACAUGCUGACGAGCGGCGAACGGGUGAGUAAUGCUUCGGAAUCUGCCCAUGUAGUGGGGAAUAACCAGCCGAAAGGUUGGCUAAUACCGCAUACGACCUACGGGUGAAAGCAGGGGAUCGCAAGACCUUGCGCUAUUGGAUGAGCCGAAGUCGGAUUAGCUAGUUGGUAGGGUAACGGCCUACCAAGGCGACGAUCCGUAGCUGGUCUGAGAGGACGACCAGCCACACUGGGACUGAGACACGGCCCAGACUCCUACGGGAGGCAGCAGUGGGGAAUAUUGGACAAGUGGGGGCAACCCUGAUCCAGCGACGCCGCGUGUGUGAAGAAGCCUGCGGUUGUAAAGCACGUUUUAGUGGGAUGGAAAAGCGUCGGGUAAUUAAUACCGUCCGGGUUCUUACGGACCUUAAACCCAAAGAAAAACGCCAACCGGACUAACUCGUGUCGCCAGGCCAGCCGUA
rnacentral:rRNA from 1 species